CCGAGUUUACAACUCCCAAACCCCUGUGAACAUACCUAUCGUUGCUUCGGCGGGAUGCCCUAGGGCGCCCGCCGGGGACCCCAAACUCUUGUUUUUAUAACUGUAUCUUCUGAGUGGCGUAAAGCAAAAAUAAAUCA
rnacentral:misc_RNA from 1 species